rnacentral:rRNA from 1 species
GGGCCCGCACAAGCGGAGGAACAUGUGGUUUAAUUCGAUGAUACGCGAGGAACCUUACCAAGGCUUAAAUGUAGAUUGACAGAUUGUGAAAACAGUUUUUCUUCGGACAAUUUACAAGGUGCUGCAUGGUUGUCGUCAGCUCGUGCCGUGAGGUGUCGGGUUAAGUCCCAUAACGAGCGCAACCCCUAUUUUUAGUUACCAGCGAGUAAUGUCGGGAACUCUAGAAAGACUGCCUGUGUAAACAGUGAGGAAGGUGGGGAUGACGUCAAAUCAUCACGGCCUUAUGUCUUGGGCUACACACGUGUUACAAUGGUUACUACAAUGGGCUGCCAUCUGGCAACAGAGAG